rnacentral:misc_RNA from 1 species
AACGCACAUUGCGCCCGUUAGCAUUCUGGCGGGCAUGCCUGUUCGAGCGUCCUUAAAACCCCUCGGGCCCGGUCGGCUUAGGCCCUCCGGCGCCCGGUGUUGGGAAUCCGCGGCUGCCGCGGUCCCCUAAAAGCAGUGGCGGACCUCCCUGUGGCCCUGGCGUAGUAACUAAAUCUCGUCUUCGGCUGCUGGGUGGGCCUUGCCCCUAGCACCAUCUCUUGAAUUUGGACCUCGAAUCAGGUAGGAAUACCCGCUGAACUUAA